GGAAGGAUCAUUAUUGAAUAAACUUGAGCAGGCUGUUGCUGGCCUCCCUUCUUGGGAGGUAUGUGCACGCUUGUCAUCUUUAUUUCUCCAACUGUGCACAUCUUGUAGACUUGGAAUUUUUUGAAUUGUUCGAUUGAGGACUGCUGUGCCUUCAAAGAAAGUCAGCUUUGCCUUGCAUUUCCAAGUCUAUGUUAUUUUCACAACCUCUGAAAUAUGUUUUAGAAUGUUUAAUUGGGUCAUUUGUACCUAUAAAAGUUAUAUACAACUUUCAGCAACGGAUCUCUUGGCUCUCGCAUCGAUGAAGAACGCAGCGAAAUGCGAUAAGUAAUGUGAAUUGCAGAAUUCAGUGAAUCAUCGAAUCUUUGAACGCACCUUGCGCUCCUUGGUAUUCCGAGGAGCAUGCCUGUUUGAGUGUCAUUAAGCUCUCAACUACACUAGUUCUAUAGUGUGGCUUGGAUAUGGGGGUUUUAUUUUGCAGGCUUUGGAAACAAAGUCGGCUCCCCUAAAAUGUAUUAGUAGUAUCUGAGCAGAAACUACCACAGGUGUGAUAAUUAUCUAUGCCUUGGUGUACUGUAUAAACAGAUUACACUGCUUCUAACAAGUGAAGCCAGUUGGCCACAUUUGACAUAUUUGACCUCAAAUCAGGUAGGACUACCCGCUGAACUUAAGCAUAUCAAUAAGCGGAGGAAAAGAAACUAACAAGGAUUCCCCUAGUAACUGCGAGUGAAGCGGGAAAAGCUCAAAUUUGAAAUCUGGCGGUUUCUUAACUGUCCGAGUUGUAAUCUAGAGAAGUGUUACCUGUGCUGGACCGUGUACAAGUCUCCUGGAAUGGAGCAUCAUAGAGGGUGAGAAUCCCGUCUUUGACAUGGACUACCUGUACAUUAUGGUGUGCUCUCAAAGAGUCGAGUUGUUUGGGAAUGCAGCUCAAAAUGGGUGGUAAAUGCCAUCUAAAGCUAAAUAUUGGCGAGAGACCGAU
rnacentral:rRNA from 1 species